rnacentral:rRNA from 1 species
GAUGAACGCUGGCGGCGUGCCUAAUACAUGCAAGUCGAGCGAACAGAUAAGGAGCUUGCUCCUUUGACGUUAGCGGCGGACGGGUGAGUAACACGUGGGUAACCUACCUAUAAGACUGGAAUAACUCCGGGAAACCGGGGCUAAUGCCGGAUAACAUUUAGAACCGCAUGGUUCUAAAGUGAAAGGUGGUUUUGCUAUCACUUAUAGAUGGACCCGCGCCGUAUUAGCUAGUUGGUAAGGUAACGGCUUACCAAGGCAACGAUACGUAGCCGACCUGAGAGGGUGAUCGGCCACACUGGAACUGAGACACGGUCCAGACUCCUACGGGAGGCAGCAGUAGGGAAUCUUCCGCAAUGGGCGAAAGCCUGACGGAGCAACGCCGCGUGAGUGAUGAAGGUCUUCGGAUCGUAAAACUCUGUUAUUAGGGAAGAACAAAUGUGUAAGUAACUGUGCACGUCUUGACGGUACCUAAUCAGAAAGCCACGGCUAACUACGUG